GGGAAAUGCUUUUUUUCUAGAUUUGUUUUUAAUAAAUGUGUUUUUCUCUAUAAUACCAGGGCGAGAAAUGCUGCUGUAUCCACAGCUGAAUGUUAUGAACAUUGUUAAAACUGUGCAUUUUGCUAGACGUACACAUGGGUUGUAUACAUUCUUAUGAUUAUGUUUCUGGUAUUGGAAGAAGACGCUGUCACCAUCACCAAACAAUAUGAAUACAUGCUGUUUGUCAUCCAAGCCUGGGCCAUUUCUCCAGGGUAUUUUCCCAUUUGUGACAGGAUUUUCUCUCCUUCUCUUUCUCUCCCUCUCUCUGUCUGUCUCUCUCUCCUGCACUUUCUAUUUCUUUAAUAUAUGUCCUGACUUGCGGGCACUUCCUCAUUAUUCCUAUCUUGAUAUCUGCCACUGUUAAUGAGUGGAGGGACUCAAGUUACAGAGUUUGAGCAUUUGGAUUAAUGUGGGUGCUGUAGAGGGGGAAGUUUGGGAAUAGUGCGUGCUCUCACAGUUCAUUACUGUGGAUAUAUGACAUUUUAAGGCUGUGAGAUGCCAGGCUAAUGAUGCUCCCCAGUAAACACUUGAGACUGCCAGCCACUGCACCUGAGAAUGUUCCUCUAAUAGCAAGGAUGUCAGCACAGUGACAGGUCCACUUCCUCUGCACUCACUGUACCAGUGGGGUUUUUUUUGUUUGUUUGUUUUUUUUAAAGCAAGUCUUUGUUUGUUAAUUUGCAAUGGACUAAUCUAUUUAAGAGUAAAUAGGCUGGACAUAAUAACAAGAACACCUGAGCAAAGCAACAAGUAUAGUUUUAAUUUUUGAGAAGUGUUUUUAUUCAGUGUGUGAAUUUAUACACGCUGAGAGCGGGACUAUACAGCCUGACAGCGCCCACCAGAAUACUGCCAAAACAUUCUCUUUGUCUCCAAUGAUUUUAUUGAGUCAGUUACUGUAAAGAUGUCAUCAUUAGGUCACCAAUGCAUGUGUGGAGUGGGGACCACAACAGGACAUCAUGUCCCAAUAUAACACUCUGCUUUCUAUCUGCUGACAGGUAUGCACUGGACCCUUGUGUUUAAAAAGUUCUUCAGGCA
ensembl:lncRNA